rnacentral:rRNA from 1 species
AGGGCACCACCAGGAGUGGAGCCUGCGGCUUAAUUUGACUCAACACGGGAAAACUUACCCGGCCCGGACACUGGAAGGAUUGACAGAUUGAGAGCUCUUUCUUGACUCAGUGGGUGGUGGUGCAUGGCCGUUCUUAGUUGGUGGAGCGAUUUGUCUGGUUAAUUCCGAUAACGAACGAGACUCUAGCCUACUAAAUAGACUACUGGUCAUUAUUGCCAGUAGGACUUCUUAGAGGGACAAGCGGCGACUCAGCCGCAUGAAAGAGAGCAAUAACAGGUCUGUGAUGCCCUUAGAUGUCCGGGGCCGCACGCGCGCUACACUGAGGUGAUCAGCGUGCCGAGUUUCCUGCUCCGAGAGGAGUGAGUAACCCGAUGAACCUACCUCGUGAUAGGGAUAGAGCAUUGUAACUAUUGCUCUUGAACGAGGAAUUCCCAGUAAGUGCGAGUCAUAAGCUUGCAUUGAUUACGUCCCUGCCCUUUGUACACACCGCCCGUCGCUACUACCGAUUGAAUGAUUUAG